UGCAAGUCGAACGAACUCUGGUAUUGAUUGGUGCUUGCAUCAUGAUUUACAUUUGAGUGAGUGGCGAACUGGUGAGUAACACGUGGGAAACCUGCCCAGAAGCGGGGGAUAACACCUGGAAACAGAUGCUAAUACCGCAUAACAACUUGGACCGCAUGGUCCGAGCUUGAAAGAUGGCUUCGGCUAUCACUUUUGGAUGGUCCCGCGGCGUAUUAGCUAGAUGGUGGGGUAACGGCUCACCAUGGCAAUGAUACGUAGCCGACCUGAGAGGGUAAUCGGCCACAUUGGGACUGAGACACGGCCCAAACUCCUACGGGAGGCAGCAGUAGGGAAUCUUCCACAAUGGACGAAAGUCUGAUGGAGCAACGCCGCGUGAGUGAAGAAGGGUUUCGGCUCGUAAAACUCUGUUGUUAAAGAAGAACAUAUCUGAGAGUAACUGUUCAGGUAUUGACGGUAUUUAACCAGAAAGCCACGGCUAACUACGUGCCAGCAGCCGCGGUAAUACGUAGGUGGCAAGCGUUGUCCGGAUUUAUUGGGCGUAAAGCGAGCGCAGGCGGUUUUUUAAGUCUGAUGUGAAAGCCUUCGGCUCAACCGAAGAAGUGCAUCGGAAACUGGGAAACUUGAGUGCAGAAGAGGACAGUGGAACUCCAUGUGUAGCGGUGAAAUGCGUAGAUAUAUGGAAGAACACCAGUGGCGAAGGCGGCUGUCUGGUCUGUAACUGACGCUGAGGCUCGAAAGUAUGGGUAGCAAACAGGAUUAGAUACCCUGGUAGUCCAUACCGUAAACGAUGAAUGCUAAGUGUUGGAGGGUUUCCGCCCUUCAGUGCUGCAGCUAACGCAUUAAGCAUUCCGCCUGGGGAGUACGGCCGCAAGGCUGAAACUCAAAGGAAUUGACGGGGGCCCGCACAAGCGGUGGAGCAUGUGGUUUAAUUCGAAGCUACGCGAAGAACCUUACCAGGUCUUGACAUACUAUGCAAAUCUAAGAGAUUAGACGUUCCCUUCGGGGACAUGGAUACAGGUGGUGCAUGGUUGUCGUCAGCUCGUGUCGUGAGAUGUUGGGUUAAGUCCCGCAACGAGCGCAACCCUUAUUAUCAGUUGCCAGCAUUAAGUUGGGCACUCUGGUGAGACUGCCGGUGACAACCGGAGAA
rnacentral:rRNA from 1 species